GUUGCUGGCAUAGAAAUUACUAUCGUCUGCAAAUAAGUUGUAUUUUAUGAGUGUGCUGGCGUGGACUAUGUCGAUUAUGUACAACAAAAACAGUUCUGGACCGAGAAUGGUGAGGAAAGGUCUCUGUAGGAUUCCUCCUUUGUUGUUGAUAGUCUUGUCUAGGGCUAUUUUAAAGCACAGUACUGUCUGUUCCUGCUGAUUGGUUUACUAGUCUCUGUGUGAAGAAACAUUUCGUUGUCAUUCUGCAUGAUAAUUUUGUAAGCUUAGAGUCAUGCUCCAUUGUAUUGGUGCGUGAAAUCUAAAAAGAAUGGCCGGGAUUCAUGUUUUCCAUCCCUUUUAAAAUUUUGAAUGUGUAUGAGUUGUGCCUUAUUGUGUCUUGUCUGAAGGGUUGUUAGUCCUCAGGCCCUCAGUUUAUUUGGAUAACCGAGAUGACAUAGUUCAGGAAUUAUUUUAGUCACCAUGUUGCACCUUUUCUAAUGAUGUUGGGUCUUUUUGAAGGUAGUGUUUACAUGCCCUGUAUUCAGUAAUCCAGACUGGGACAUACUUGAGAUCUGUACAGUUAAAGGAGCAUUUUCAUAUCUUUGUAUUUGAAGGCUAUGCUUUAUAAUUCCCAAAUCUUGAUUUUUUUUUUUUUGUCACUAUUGCCUCCACUUGUUCUGCCUCCAUCAGUGACUGAUCUAUGACAACACCAAUAUCUUUCUCCUUAUCGACAGUAUCCAGGAAAGUGUUACUAACAGAAUGGUGGUGAUUUAGGUUGUUGCAUCCUACAUGCAGAGUCUUGCAUUUUGUGUUGUUAAAGGUCUUUUGCUAGUCUAAAGACCAUUUGAACAGCUUGUGCAGAUCUUUUUGCAUGGUUGCUACAUCGUCUUGUCUUGCAAUCUUCCCAAAUAUCUUCAUGUCAUCCACAAACCUAACAAUAUGUCUUGAUAUAAUUUCAUCUGUCAUUUAUGUAGAUCUCAACAGGUUGGAUUCAAGAAUAAAACUUUGUGCUAUACUACUGAGAAAUGUUUUCCAUUCUGAAUGUACCCCAUUUGUGACCACCCUUUGUGUCUUGUCAUUGAACCUGUUGUUAAUGCACUUCAAAAUUUGGCCUAUGAUUCUAUGUGGCUGGAUUUUAGAGACUACCUGUGAAUGUGGGACUUUGUCAAGUGCCCUAGAUAAGUCCACGUAUUACGCCUGAGAUCAAAGGUUUGCUUGACCCCAAAUAAGAUAAAACAGCACACUUGCAUCAGAAAACAGUCAGGAUAAGUCAGUUCAGAGACUCCGUUUCACCACGGGUAUCAAAAUUUUGACAGUGACUGUACUACUCAUCCACGGUAGACCUUGGUCCAUGUAAUGUGUUACCAUUUCUAGGAAAUUGAAUAAGUGUGUCAAACAGGAUAUUCUCUAUGGAACCGUGUGAUACAUUGAUCAGACUACUCGGUCAGGUGUUGGAAGAUUGUGUCCUUCAGAAUUUUCUCAAGAAUUUGUGUAUAUAGUGAGUUGACAUAAAGCAAGGGUCAGGUGGUUGUUGGCCAGAGUUAGUUUUUCCCUGAUGUGGACUUUGUCCACCAUUGCUACCUAUGUUGUCAAGAGUAUAUCCAGAAUGUUUUUUCUCUAGUAGGUUCCUUCAUGUGUUGUGUCUUGAAGGUCAAGGUAUGCUCCUCAGCUUGUAUGGUAAGAGUCACCCAGUCUACUGUCUGUUCUGGAUGACAUUGGAGUCUGCCACUUCUCCCUGUGAGGUUGAGUCAGCCUUAUAACACACACCUACUGUCACCUUGCUUUUUGUUCUCUGCUAUUAGUUCACACCAAAAGUAAAUUUGGACGAUUUAGUUUCAUUCGCUCAUCAUUACUGGUUAUUGUCAGGUGCUCCAUGACACAGUAGUACACCACCACCUGUCCUUUCUGGAUGGUGAGUGAUAACCUGGUAAACACAUCUUCUCAACCCCAGGAUGUCUGCCUGUUCUGUAUCCACCUAUGCAUUUAAGUCCAGUCUUAUUAACUAGACUUGUGUCAUUCUUGUUUCAUUCAGGAUUUUGUUCUCUCGGGGUUACUAGUAUUACUUAAAGCUACACUUGUGAUGUGCAACUCCUAUACAGUAUGAAGUCCCAUAUUUCUCACUGUCUCUCCUUCCCUCCUCCACCUCAGGUUCUUUAUAAUGCGAUUGUCAUUGUGUUUGUUUAUUUGCAAUUGUUCUCGUGACAUGUUAUGUUAGUCAGCCCCAGGUGCCACGUUAUCACUGUGUAACUAUUUCUUGUAAGUUAUUUAAUACUUCCUGCACUGAUUGUUGGAGUUGUCUCAUUUAUUGCUUUAGUUUACUGUAUCUUGUUCUUUAUCCUCUACACUAGUAAUACAGGUACACCACCAAUUUUCCGGCACCUUUGGUUCCUGAGCCUUUCCGGACCAUCCGUUUUGCCGGAUUAACAGAGGUCAUAUAUAAUAAUUAAGCAAUACACCUUUGAACCACUUGGUAUACACCCCUUCCCCCCGGUAUUUUUAAAGCACCAUGGCUGCUAGAAACUCAUCACUCUAUCAUGUUCAGUACUCUUACUGUCUUUCAAUGUUUUUCUAAUGCACACUUGCUUCUUGGAAUCACUUUCUGCAUAGAAUCUCGUUACUUUUUCUCUUUGCUUCUUUAUAUCACACACAGUUGACGAACCAAUACCAUACUGAUCACACACCCGUCACACCGAAACGCUACGGUCGAGUUUUCUCAAGAGUUCCACCUUAUCUUGUAUCGAUGUGGACUGGUGUUUACUCUUUACACCACCACUGACACUUGUACUUGCCUUUGAAGCCAUAGCUGGGGUUAAAUAUGUCCAAAACAAGCUGAGAAUUACACAAAAUCAAGAAGCUACCACCAGCAACUGCAGAAUAAACAAAGCGAGCGCGGUUAACACGUAAUGCCAUCUGUGGGCAGCCCAGUAAACUAAUCUGGAGGUCAAGGGAAUUUUGUCCUGGUUAAAAGAGGUGCCGGACCAUCCGUUGCCGGAAAAUCGGUGGAGUACCUGUAAUUAAGUCCCUAACUUGGUCUUUUUGUGUUUGUAUAUAGUGUCAAAGUAUUUAUGUUUAGAGUACACCCACCUCUCGCUUUACGCGGGGGUCACGUUCUUGAAAACCACCGCUUAAUUAAAAACUUCUUAAAUUAAACAUAAAUUUCCCAUAAGCAUACAUGUAAAUGGCACAGGUUAAGGGAACCAUCAUAUACCACACAGGGUACGAACAGUGCUCUCACUUAAACCAAGCAUGCUGCCAACACACACAUACUCCUCUCUGAAGGCCGGUGAUCACAUUUAAUUUCACGUCCAUUGUGAUUGUUUUUCGUGCCUUUUUAGCUUUAGGCGUCCCAGAGGCAGAUGGGUGUUUUACAGACAUGGUCAAUGGGGGAAACGGCAUUUAACACUAAAAAGGUACGUGAUAAACACAAUGCAAAUUGGAGCACAGAGAAGUAAUAGUGCUGGUGUGAACUGAGAAAGUGAUACCCGGGAAGCUUGCUGGACGUGGUCAAAGUUUUUGUACAGAAUACUUCAUUAUCUUCACCAUUAGAAGUAAUUAUCUUUAUUAUUACAUUAUUAUAAUUAUUAUUAUUAAUAAUAUAAAAUUGUUGAUGUUGAUAUGACUGCAACUUUAUAGUCAUAACUUACAAGUACCUCACCAGGCAUCACACGCGACUCCACUGCCAGACGACCAGGUGAAUACACGAUGCAAAUUUAAACUGUCUUGAGCGCGUUAUUUAAAAAAUAGGUGCGUUUAAAUUAGCUUUUGGUAUUAACUGAACAAUCGCGUUGUUCCAAAAACGCUUAAAUCAAACGCACGUAAAACGAGUUACCUGUAUAUAAAGUAAAAGAAUAAAAUCAUUUUAACACCUGUGCUGAACUGAUAUUCCAGCUCAGGAGUGCCACAAGAAACGUGAAGAUUAGUUAUUACAGAAAAAAAAAAAAAUUUAACCCAAAGUUGAUUGUAAAUACAUAAUGCCGCUCAGUCUCAUAUUUUCUCUCUUAAUUAUAUUAAUAACUUUAAGCUUUGCAUAAAUCAUUGUUUAUCAAUUUUGAUACCUUACAAAUACUACUUUCUUUUUUACUUUUUCUACUUGUGUGUUUCACUUCAAUUAAUUUAACUUUUGUUUUGUUUUUAAGUAGUUUUGAAGAAAGCUACUUUAUACAAAUUUUAAUUUGUACAAAGCAACAGUGUAGUACUGUACUUUAUUUUAAGUAAUACUUCCAGGUACUUUCUCCAUCACUGUUUAAAGUGGAUCUGAAUUGAGCUGGACCUGAUGUGAACUAGACUAAAGUGGGCUGGACGUGCAAGUGAAGGAGAUCUGAAGUUAACUGGACCUAAAGGACUAGAUAGUAAUUAAUUACUAUUUUCUGGUACUUUGAAUAUUAGGAUGGUUCUACAGGCAUUCCCCAGUUUAUAAGAGAGUUCUGUUCCUGAAAAACCUUUAGUAAAUCAGAUAAAUUUUCCCAUAGACUUCCAUUAUAAAAGCCGAGAUACUUUUCUAUAAUGAAAAUACUAACCCAAAAUGUCUUAACCCUUAAGCCCUGGGUGACGUUCCAGAACGUCUGCCUAUUUUCCCAUGACACAGUAGUGAGAGUUAACACUGUGGUGUUAAUAACUUUACUACAGUGAGGAUAUUACUUCAAUAAUUAUGUAAGAGAUAAAAUCACAAAGUAACUUCAUGAAAUUACCGUUUACUGUAUCUUAAAGUAUAGUUCAAGUCUUAAUGAUCAAAUUUUUAUGUAAAAAAUUGGGGUCAAACUAUACAUGCAUAAUAUUUUUGAGGGGUUACAAUUUAUGCAUUUCCAUGGGUCAUUUACAGUGAAUGAUAGUACCUGGUGCAGUACGCGCUUAUGGUAGGUUAACCUUACCAGUAAGCUCCUUUAUCCUGGGCUUGCCUACCUACCCCAAGAUCCUAUGUGGCUACAGGAAGAGCAGAACCUUUCACUAUACAGUAUAUGCUGGUUUAAAUAUACAAAUGCCUGAUAGAAUUGGUUUAGAUAUUUUUCUUUGCAUCUGUUUAAAUUACUGGGAGAUUAUCAACUUUCCCCACCUGUGAGCUGUAUGCUAUGUUAUGGUCAGAGUGAGGGAAGAUUGGACUAAAGUUAAUUGAGAGGGAAGACUGCUGGAGACAUAAUUGAAGAGUAUUACAGUGAGGGUGGGAAGGCUGGUGAUAUGAAUUAAAACUAUUCUCAAGUAAUGUAUAUGUGGGAGAAACUUGACUAGAACAUAAGACUUUACUGUACUGUAGCAGAAGAAGAGUGAGGAAACACCUUAGGAUAGACUGAAGUUUUAUACAAGCAAAGGAAGGAUAUGUGCCACUUAAUCUGCACUGGAUUAUUUUUUUAAUUUCUUCCACAUCCUAGGUUUAGGUUUCACUUCUUCAGAACUCAACCAUAAAGAGAGUCACCUAUCAACUGGAAUCAACUGAAUCUGACCAUCUUUCCCCGACCUUUAGGACGGGGUUGGAAGGAGGCAUAAGGUCGAGCAUGACAACCAUUACUGGUGUUGGCUGGGCAGAAGCCGUCACUUGUGCACCAAGAUGUCUUCACGUUUUAGCUCUCUGGUCUGUAGUCUCAAAUGUAAAGUAUGUUGAAUAUUUCUCCUAAGUUAAGAUGCAAGGUUGUAUCUGAUUGUGUGAUUCAAGGUGAUGGAAUCUCAAAGGUAUGUUGAAUAUUUCUUAUAAAUUAAGAUGUAAAAAUGUAUCUGAUUGGUGACAUAAGAUACAACAUUGGUCAAGGAUGAGUUGUCCUAAUUUAUUUAGUAUGGAUCAGGAAGCUGAUUCUAGGACUGUAGUUAGCCUGAUUAAAACUCGGGCCUUCGUUGAUGAGCAGCAGCAAUUUGACAGUAAUUACAUAAGAUCAUCGGAAUCGUCUUAGUGAUGUGCAAACCGAUAAAGGAUUUUUUAAUGCUAGAUGCGAUUGUAUUUUUUAAAACUCAAUCUCCACUGAGUUGGAGGUACAGCCCAGGUCAAGAGGCCUACAACCACAAAAUCUUUGUCAUAAGACAAUUUUUUUUUUU